UACGUAGGGGGCAAGCGUUGUCCGGAUUUAUUGGGCGUAAAGAGCGUGUAGGCGGUUUGGUAGGUCCGCUGUGAAAACUCGGAGCCUCAACCUCGAGAACGCCGGUGGAAACCAUCAGACUAGAGUCCGGAAGAGGAGAGUGGAAUUCCUGGUGUAGCGGUGAAAUGACGCAGAUAUCAGGAGGAAUACCGGUGGCGAAAGCGACUCUCUGGACGGCAACUGACGCUGAGGCACGAAAGCGUGGGGAGCAAACAGG
rnacentral:rRNA from 1 species